ACACGUGUACCAAGAUGAGAGAGAGUUUAGAGGGCUGGUUACUUUAGAGAGAGGGAUUUCUAGGGUUUUAGGUCCUCCGAUUCCAAUUCCAAUUGCACCCCAAAAUGACGAAGAGAACCAAUCUCAGACCCCAAUUGAAACCAAUUUCGAAGCCAGCGCUCAAAUUCCUAUGGAUGAUCAGAAAAAAGAGACACCUCUCACUCUCUUCCCGGCGUUCUUCAACCGCUACCGACAUGCCGGACGGCUGUGCCGCGGUUCUCACUGACCACGAAGACGUCCUCGUCGAAAUACUCGCAAGACUCCCCGUCAAAACCCUAAUCCGAUUCAGGUGCGUCUGCACGGCGUGGCGUUCCCUAAUCUCCGACCCUCAUUUCCUCAAGAAGCAGAGGAAAUACGACGCCGAAAGAGGCGUCAACGACAGCGAUCUCCGGCUACUGUUCUCCAUGAAGCCUCCCAGCUCCAUGGGCUUGGUGGAUUUGAAGGGUUUGAAGGAUGCUGAGCUGGCCAAAAGAUUCAGAGAGGACCGUGUUGCAACCAGGGAGCUUGAUUUUCCGGUGAGUCUUGAUCAUGGUUAUGAAAUAGUGAAUGUGGGAACUUGCAAUGGGAUUAUAUGCAUUCAAUUUAAUCGCGGCGAGUAUGCUUUAUGGAACCCUUGUACUGGAGAGUACAAUGUGUUGCCGAAACCUAGUGUUUUUUGUUAUCCAAGGUAUUAUGGAUUUGGUUAUGAUGAAAUCAAUGAUGAUUACAAGGUAGUGAAGGGGUCACAUUGUGAAACUGAUGGGAAUGGUCCGCUGAAACCGCUGAUUCAGGUGUUUUCGCUGAGAAAAGGUACAUGGAAGACCUAUCCCGGCCCGAAGAAUGUUUGCAUGAGAGGGCAGGGGGCGUUUGUAAAUGGAAAGCUGCAUUGGCUGUGGUUUGAGGAGUGGUGGAAGUCGGAAAGCAAGGAAAUUAGACCUUUUAGUUUAGCUGAGGAGAAAUUUCAGGAGGUGAUGCCGAUUCCUUGGAAUAACAUUGGUGGAAUUUUGAUUUCCGGGAAUCGUCUCUGUGUACAUAGUGAAACAGGGGCUGUGAGGAUAGUGAUGAUGAAGGAAUACGGGGUCAAGGAAUCUUGGACUGAAGUGCUGUAUCUGACUAUUUUUACUGUACCUCAGAUAUAUGAUGAAAUCUGCAAGGUGAAGCCUCUGUGGAUUCUAGAGAAUGGCGAUGUUUUGGCGUACACAGUACAACAAGGAGGCUACUUGUCAUUAUAUAAACCAAAGGAUAAGGCAUUUAGGAAUGUUAUUAAGCCCGAAGGGAGUUACAGGUUUGAAUCCGUCAUUUACAGAGAAACUUUUGUUUCACCGGUAACUGGCAAUCUUGGAGAAAUCUGACAACAGCAUUGUGAGUUUUUUACUUCCUUAUAUGAUCAACUUGUAUGCAUUUUGUGUUUAGAGCUAAUGGUAGAUUGUGUACCUGGACAUUGUAAGCUUCUACUGCUAUAAUGAUAUUCAGCUUUGGCUUUUCUCUUUUGUUAUUGUGCGUGAGGUAAUUAAUUACUGUCAGUUGCGCCCUUUGUAUCCUGGUUCAAAAGCUGCUGGUACUGGCUACAAAGGAAGAACAAAUAUUAGAAUAUUAGGACUGUGGCGAUUCAAUGUCACUAUAGCAGUAUGACUGUCCCUUACUGGAUCUAACUUCUGCUAUAAAGUGAUUACUACCCUUACUCAUGCAUUGUCAAAACAUGCUUUUGCCUCGCCAUUAUGUGAAGUUGUGAACUAACAAUUUCUUUCAAAUUCCAUCUUGGUGUAAGCUUCUUCAUUAUCUUCUUUGACACUUAUAUAAACAAUAGUAGCCAUUAGCCACUAGAAGGACUGGAUGAAUUUUCUCUGUCGGUGAAGAUUGUUCUUGAAUGGAGGGAUUUCGACUUUAGAAGUUCGCUACUGCGUUUUCUGAAGCAAUAUUACUUUUCUGUAUGCUUUUUCCACAUGGUUGAGAUUACUAGUACUAGUACUUCAAAACGUGCGUUCACCACAUGGUUCUUUGAUCGUUCAGGUCCAAUCACUUUUAGUUUGUUUAUGUGAGAAACAGCUUAUUGCCUUUUGUUUGGAAUCCUUGUAUUAGACACGCUCCAUCUGCCUGUAAUGCUUCCAUUGCAGCAGUUUGUCCUGUAACAAACACAAGUUGCGUAUUCUUUCCUCCAUUUUGUUUCGAUGAAGACAUCAUACUUUGGUAAUACAGAAAGAUGAAGAACCCAAGGAACCUAGUAGAUAUGCGGAGUCAGGAAGAUGAAGCGGAGAGAAGUAUGCGCCUAAUUCGGUUGGAAUACAUGGUCAUGCAGUUCUCUAUUUUACUAUUUUGGUUUUGUGGUGAAGACUUAUGUAUCCCAUCCCAGUGUUUAUGAAUAUUGCGACUACAUUUCUCUCAUCUCUAUUAACCCUUUAAAAGUUA